UUUCCUGUCGACAUCCAUCAUACGUUAAACAGCCUUAGAGACUAGAGGCAGUGUCACGUUCUACUGAGCCUUCUCAAGUUCUCGAAUCUUGUGCAAUCUAUAUUUCCUGUGUUUAAUAAUGACUGUUUUUGUUGAUUCCAACGGGCAACAGCUUGCCGAAUUUGCAGGCUCAGGUCAUCUCUCUUCUUCUAAAGGCUAAAGCUGUUGCUGUAGCCUGUACAUCAUGGCUACUCCUACUCAUCCCAUACUUAAGUUUGCCUACAAAAAUGUUACUACUUACUAGUCUAGAAUAGAAUCAGUAGAUCGUGUUUCAUUCAAUGCUAAAUGUAACUUUUGUAAGUUUGCUAAUGUGAAAAGUGUGAUAUUAAUAUGUUGACAUGCUAUGUCAAACUAUGUAUUAUGUGGUUAUUGACAUAACUCUUUUGCAGGUGAGGCGCAGGCAAGAGGAGUUACACCGUAGGCAAGAGGUCGCUCGUCUCAUUGCCGUCAUUGAAGAAUAAAGGUGCGCGCGGCAACUUUCACGCACGGCAACUCGAUCGUCAAGCUUCACAAGUACCUGCAACGUGCAUCUAGCCAGCAAUGAGGUGAGGUGCAGGCAAGAGGAC